rnacentral:rRNA from 1 species
AAUAGAUACCCCGGUACGUCCACGCCGUAAACGAUGAGUGCUAAGUGUUAGAGGGUUUCCGCCCUUUAGUGCUGCAGCUAACGCAUUAAGCACUCCGCCUGGGGAGUACGGUCGCAAGACUGAAACUCAAAGGAAUUGACGGGGGCCCGCACAAGCGGUGGAGCAUGUGGUUUAAUUCGAAGCAACGCGAAGAACCUUACCAGGUCUUGACAUCCUCUGACAACUCUAGAGAUAGAGCGUUCCCCUUCGGGGGACAGAGUGACAGGUGGUGCAUGGUUGUCGUCAGCUCGUGUCGUGAGAUGUUGGGUUAAGUCCCGCAACGAGCGCAACCCUUGAUCUUAGUUGCCAGCAUUUAGUUGGGCACUCUAAGGUGACUGCCGGUGACAAACCGGAGGAAGGUGGGGAUGACGUCAAAUCAUCAUGCCCCUUAUGACCUGGGCUACACACGUGCUACAAUGGAUGGUACAAAGGGCUGCAAGACCGCGAGGUCAAGCCAAUCCCAUAAAACCAUUCUCAGUUCGGA